rnacentral:rRNA from 1 species
GACGAACGCUGGCGGCGUGCCUAAUGCAUGCAAGUCGCACGCACUCGCCUUCGGGUGGGUGAGUGGCGCACGGCUGAGGAACACGUGGAUACCUGCCCCGCCGUGGGGGAUAACGGAGCGAAAGCUUCGCUAAUCCCGCAUCCGCUCCCACUCCGGUGGGAGGAAAGCCGCAAGGCGCGGUGGGAGGGGUCUGCGACCCAUCAGGUAGUCGGCGGGGUAACGGCCCACCGAGCCGAUGACGGGUAGCUGGUCUGUGAGGACAACCAGCCAGACUGGGACUGAGACACGGCCCAGACUCCUACGGGAGGCAGCAGCAAGGAAUUUUCCCCAAUGGGCGCAAGCCUGAGGGAGCAACGCCGCGUGGAGGACGACGGCCUUCGGGUUGUAAACUCCUUUUGGGGGGGACGAUGAUGACGGUACCCUCCGAAUCAGCCCCGGCUAACUCUGUGCCAGCCGCCGCCGUAACAC